CCCAUUUGCAGUGCAAAAAUAGGGUCUAAAUAAUGGCUGAAUUAGCCCUACUGGACAGUUUCAGAUGUAACACUCUGUAAUAAUUAUAUUGCAGGCUGGAUUAGGAUGCUAUUAUCAUAAUCUGGACGUUUACAAUUAUCUGUAAUUUGCAAAGAUGCGCCAGGUCUUGAUUACAGCUUUUUUUUUUUUUUUUUUUUUUUUUUUUAUCAAGCUAACCAUCACUAAACAGUGACAGUAAUAACAGCUAAUUUUGCUGGCAAUAUAAGAGGUGCUGGGGUGUGCAAACAAUUUCACACCUGGAUGUGCUCACUCAACCAAGAAUAUAGAGAAAGAGCUUCUGCCCUGAGACUCAGAAAAAUAUUCUCCACUGCUUCUGUUCAGUAUAGAUUUCUAGACCCCGAUCCUUGCUUAGCAGAUUUUCACAGGGGCCUAUCUGAGAAAUCACUCGUGGGGAGGAGACGCACCGAGAGGAUUUCCGAGCGGACCCUCACGCUGGCACCGGCAAGGCGUGCAGGCGAGGACGAGACCCCCGAAAGCCCACGGGAAGCAGCGAGCCCCCCUCUCCUACUCCUCAGGGCCCGCCAGCGGGGGUGUGGACCACCCGCCGCCAUCCCCUCUCGAGGGUUGCAGCGAAAGGGUUAAGGCGGCUGCGGGGGCCGUGGGGGCCGGGACCUGCCAAGCUGGGCUCGGCUGGGCUGGACUCCCCAGGCUGCGGGGCUGGUUCACCUGGGCAUCUGCCGUCCCUCUGCGGGGGCGAGGGUGAGCCCGCACAGAGUCCAGCUUGGGGGUGUGAAGCAGGAUUUUCUGAAAGAUGCACACACUCACACACACACACAAAUGCUGUUGGUUUAAAUGUAUGGUAGCUUUCUCUCCAGUGUCAUUUGAAUAAUUCAGUGAGCCCCACUACCAGCUGUACUUCUGAAGCCUCUUCCAUUCUUUUCAGCAUUAUAAUUUUGGUUAAUUUUCAAUUUUAGGCCCUACGUCUCUGCAAUUUGUGUAUGAAUAACAGAAUAAUUUUCCUCUUUUGUUUCGCCUUUCCUGUUCCUGAAUCUAAAUAAAGAUGGCUUUUUAGUAUUAAAAGUGGAAGAAAAUUACAGGUAAUUAUCUUUGACGGUAAAAACGCUGUAAUCAGCGGGCUACAUGAAAAAUUACUCUAAUUAUGGCUGCAUUUAAGAGAAUGGAAAAAAACCUUCUUGUGGAUAAAAACCUUAAAUUGUCCCCAAUGUCUGCUUCAAAUUGGAUGGCACUGCAGCUGGAGGCUUUGUUCAGAAUUGAUCCUGGGGAGCUCUGAACCCAAAGUUUCACAGUGGGAAGGGGAAAAAAAGAAAAGAAAACAUUUUUCCUAAUGUAACAAUACGAAUGGUAGAAAAUGACAAGACUGAUCGGUUUUAAACCACUCUGAAGACUGACUGAGCGUGGAAGUUGCUCAAAAAAAAACAAAAAAACACCCCCCCCCAAAACUGGUAUAUUGCUGCCAUGGAAAAUGACCAGAAAUCUACAAUCUGAGAAAACCCAUCCAUCAUCUUCAGGCACUCUUCCAAUCUGUUAACUUUAGCUGCUACUAAUAAGUGUCUCAGUCCAGGAAAAGCAAUUAUUACGAUGUUUCACAGAAUAGCUUCCAGAUAGCAUAUGAUGUAAACUGCUCUUGAGCAACAUUUCGUCUAAGGAAGCGGCCUUUUUUCUUCAGUAAGCAACUUUACUAAUGCAAGUGUGAUAAAAACAGAGGUAGAGAGGAAGAUCUGUUGGAAAUGGGGAUUGACCAUGGCAACUAUGCCCAUUGACGCCUUCCAAAGAGUGGGAUCACUAUGCUUUGUAAAGCCCUUGUUACAGGUUUGAUCAGUGUUCAGACUCUUUCGGUAAGGAUCAGAGACAUUACAUGUAAUGGAAAUGUAGUCACUAAUGUGCCAGAUCACAUAGGACCAAAUCAGGCAUCCUGUUUUCAGUGCAGGUUCACAUCCAAAAAGCAACAUUUUGUCUGCUAUCCAACACACAAAAUUAGCAAUGCAAAGCAAGCCCAAACUCAGUGCAUUAGCAUCUCUCUUCUGUUUCUUGCUGUUUUGAGGCCCUUAGUAAAAGUGCAGCAUUGUUGCAGGCUGCUGCCUGCCGUCGGUACCUGAUCCCUGCACUCACACGUGGCAGUCACUUGUAUUAUGUUCAGUGCUCCAUCUCCAGGGCAUGGGGACACCAUGCAGUGGCAGAGGGAGCUGCCACUGGUCAGUGUCGCUGGGAAGGUGUCAAGUGGCCUGGAGAGAUGGAGGCCUUCCCGAGGUAGUAACAAAGCGCUGUUAGGUGACUUGAUGGAUAUUCUGCAGAUGUAGACAGGCCAGUGGAGGAGCACAGCUGAGGUCCAAAAACAGAGGGCUUUCUCUUAAGAAAGGGAAACCAAAGGAGGAGGGAAUCAAAGGACCAGUGUAUGGUGUAUUUAGGACCAUCUCCACAUAGCCUGAUUUCUAUAAUGUGGGACCUCUAGCGAGGGAUUGAGGGGGAAAUCUUGGCAACUCCUUUAUGACAACAAACACACAUUGGCAAAGCUCUACUUUAGGACCUUAGAACCAGCACACUUAGGAUCAGUCAGAUAAUCAUAUGGUGGCUUCUCACCAGGCCUCUCUGAUUAGUUCUGGAGGCUGGUUAAUAUGAUACUUCUUUACUGACCGUUCCUUGCUACUAGUUCCUGGCUGUUCUUCACAUGUCUUUGUAGGCAGAUGUUAGGUCAUGAGUAACUUCGGAAUCAAUUCAGUCUGCCUCUGCUAGACUCCUUGAUCAUGAUGGGUGUUGUUAGCAGUUGACAUUCAGCAUGCUUCCGGACACCCAUCUGCCUCAUCAGACUGUAUGACUUGUCUUUUCAAUUCCACUUUUAUAGCAUAUUAUAGAUCGCCUUGGCACGUUUGGAUUUCUGAUUGCAGACUUGCUUUCUGAACCUUGAAGAAUUUGACACUAAAAGGAAAGCAUGGUCUAGAUUCCUUCUGAAAAUUUCAGAUUGAUGUGCUAGAUCUUUCUGCAUAAAAUGUAGUCCAAACCUAGAUACUCAUUUACUUCUCAAGCAAAAUUUUGGUCUUGAAUACCAUUGUUAAUUUGUUUGCUAGGAGAAAUGAGGUCGAUGGGACCAUGGUACACUUGCAAACUUUGUCUAGCAAUUGGUUCUUUUCACAAUUAAAUUAAGGAGAUACAUAUAGUGGAAGUUUAGAAACCAUAAUUUUCCUGGCUUAAAAGAAGAUGUGCAGUAUAUAAAGAUAUUUGCUUUAAAUUAUCAAAACUGUUUUGGCCAGCAGAUGUGCACACACACACACAUUCUUAAAAUGUGUGUAGGCAUUCAUCCUAAUAUAUGUGCAUUCCUUUUAUAUAUUAUUUGGAUAUAAUUUGUACAUCAUUUUUCCUUAUAAAUAUGUAAAAUUUCUUCUUAUAUAUACAUAUACACAUGUUCCUUUUUAAUAUAUUCUCUUGUCUUUAAUUGUUGAAGGCUGAUGGAUGCCAGCAAGCAAUCUAGUUUUGAUACCUCAUAAGAGGGUGAGAUACAUUGCUGAAAGGUCAACAGCUGGUGUUUGGGAGUUCUUGGUCCCCUGGACACCCUGAAAAUGAAUAAGUGCCUGGAAAGGCUAAUCUUGCCAUAAGGCUUGUGAGCUGAUCAGAGUUUGGCUAUAUGAAGCCAAACUUGCAAUGACUUCAUGCAAGUCACAGGCAGUUUAAAAUAUUCACCAACUUAGUUGUGUGUUGUUUGUUCUCCUGGGCAGUAUUUCUACUGCAGUGAGAUGGAAGGUGUUAAAAUUAGUUAUUUUCCCUGGUACAGGGGGAAUGAGAGUUCUGCCUUACCAAUACAUGGGGUAUUUUUGCUUAAUGUGAACAGUUUUGGGGCAUUAGUGAUGAAAUGUAUUAAAAUAUGAUGAUGAAAUUGUGAGCAGGAAACAUUUAAUGGUACCUGUUUGAUUCUUGAUCACAUUAUGCUAUCUGUAAUGAUGAAAAAGAUGAAAAUAAAAAUGGCAGUUGUUAUUUGGCAGAUGCUCUAUAGCACUAAGAGGUCAACAGACCAUUUCAAGGCUAGAAAUUAUUAUAGGCCUAGUGAAGUGAAAAGGUGCUACUUCUUACUGUCUGUAACAGUAGAACAUUAUUUUAAUUAAAUAUGUAAAUUAAGAUGUGUAUGAGCAACAAAUAUCAAGUUUGUAGUAAUGCUUUCCCAUUACUUUGAAAACAGAAACCAUCACUGCUUUCCUUAGAGACAUUAAUUUGCAGUGAGAGCAACCCUGGUGUUUCUGGUAUUACUCUGUUAUGUGAUUUCACAGCAAUGUGCUCAGCCUGUAAAGUUCAUAUCACUGAAGAUUUUUUUUUAUCCAGAUAUUAAUUUUCUUCUAUAAGACAAUCUUGUUGCCUAAAUCUUUUCAGACCUAUCACUCAGUUUAUGUGCACAACAGUCUUUGAUAGUUUUGCAUCUUUUCCUAAAGAUAAAAAUCAGAGGGGAAAAAAAGUAUUAUUGCAUUUAAGGAUUUGAAAAUUACUCUGGUCUAGAUGCCACUAAAGCACAAGUGUAACAGUACAUAUUUAAAAAAAAAAAAUCUGUGUAGGAUACAACAUUUCAGACACACCACAUUGUAUUCAAAUUCAUAUGAGCCUUUUGUCCAAGUCACUUUUCCCUCUGAUAAGUAUGGGAAACUGGGUGGCACUUUUUCUGUUUUGUACUUUGCAACUUAUUGAGGUCCUCAAGUUAAUAUUUCCCUACAUUCUUCUUUUGUACUCGCUGGGUUUGUCAGAAGAGAUGUGUGAAUGAAAAUAGAUCCGAAUUCUGCAUUGCUUUUGGGACUUGGUUCAAAGAGGACUGGCAGCCGUGGAAGGAUCUCACCAAAGGCUUCCAUGACUUCUAGUCAUGUCAUUAAUGACGACCUUUCAAACAUUUUGGUCUUCUAUCUUCCAUAUGAAGAGAAAUAAUGAUCCCGCCUUUGAAGAAGGUUUUGAAAUUGCUAGGGAUGUAGAUAUUAAUCACUGUUAUACCUUCUUACAAGCAGUGAGAAAUGAAAUACCAUUUAACAGAAAGACUGGGUUUUAUUGUAUUUACAACAAUGAAACUGGAAUAUAACCUUUUUGUUUAAAAAUCAAGCCACAGAUUAAGUUUUGAUUGCAGUAUUUUGUACUGAAAAUGAGAAUAAUGGAAGCAAUUAAGUAUUCAUAGUCCUGCUCUCACACAAACACCUUCCAUGGUGAGCCUGUUUAUGCAACUGAGUGUGCCAUACAAUUGUUUUUAUUACCUGUAUAAAAUACUUUUUUUUUUUUAAACUAUUUCACUGUGUAUUGUUGAGCUUGUUUGCAUUCUAAAGGGCUUUGCCUCAUUAAAGCAAUUACAGUAAA